rnacentral:misc_RNA from 1 species
AGUCGUAACAAGGUAUCCGUAGGUGAACCUGCGGAUGGAUCAUUACCGAUCUAUCUUGAUUAUUUUUUCUGUGAACCGUGCAUGGGACAUUGGUGAGAGCGUGUUUCUUGUUGUUCGGUGGCUCUGAGGUUGUUGUUGCACGCCUGCUAACUCUUAGGAGUCGGUGCGGCUAGGUUGACAAUGGCAGCGGGACUACUGACUGCGGGAGUACUGUCUCUCGUUGAUGUCCGUCCAACAUGCACACAUUAUUACUGUGUCUUAUUGAUCUGAAUUAAAACUGUUAUAACAAACAUUAAAUGUAAACCUAUAACUUUUAGCAAUGGAUCUCUAGGCUCUC